UUGUUAUUAUAUUAUUGUUUCUGAACAAAGAAGUGGAGUGUAUCAUGUGAGAUUCAGAGCAACAAAUACUUUGCUUCCCUAGCAGUCUGUCUAAUUAAAUAUCCAGGCCUAGUGUGCGGUUUCCCCUCAUUACAGGCUACAACUUAGCAUGCCAAAGCACUCAGUACACUCUGACAGCGCCUCAGACUUCAGCUCCAUUACAGACUACGGGAACCUGGACACCAGUAACUCAUAAGGUUGGAAGAACAAUACUGUACAAUAGAAUACAAUAAAAUUUUCAAAAUAAGAUCCCACAGGGUUCAAAGUGUCCGUGAUGGGGUGGAAUUAAAGAUGAAUUUUAGCAAAAUGGGUAAUUGCCUAAUACUGAUGAUUGUGAUUUCAUGCAUGAGGUGGGAAGUUGUAUUUGACCAAUAAUAUUUAAGAAAUCUACUAUCAGAUGAAUUUAUUAAACAUGCAGUUCUUUAAGGUGAUCAAAAGUGCACCUCUCUGACAGAAUCAACCAUUGUCAUGGUCCCUCAGUCCUACCUGGCUGACAUAUCAGGGUUUUCUCUCUCUCUAGGCUUCCAUUUCUCUCUCUCCUCUCUUCUGUCUGUUAUUGUUUGUUGUUGUCUGUGCUCUGAGGCAGUACUCAUUUCGUGUUCCUGCCCUUGAGUCUACACACCUGAAGAUAAUCAACCCCCUCUGGCCUCUGAUCUCAUCAUCAGUCAUUACUUAAGACCUUCCCUGGAUUCCCCUUGCUGGAGUGUGGUCUGCUGGAGUCUACUUGAGUCAGAGUGACUUAAGGAUCAGGCGGUAAGUGUGAGGGUGUGUGCGUGGCACCGUGGGCCGGCCAGUUUUUUGUCACUAAUUGCACAUUCACCCCAGAUGGCAAACUUCAGAUAAGUAUGACAGGAACAGCUACUAAACCAUGGUGUCUCCAGCUCUCUGCACCAAGGUUUAAGUGACUAAGCUCCUCUAACCUUAUGGUUAGAAGAGAAGGUUGUGUCUUACUUUUCUCUGGUAGGGUGUCCCGAGGCAAAUUAGACCAUUUUCAUUUCUUCCUAUGUUUCACUGGCAACUUAAAGGCUGAAUAUAUAGCCAUCUAUCAUGAAAUCUUCUAUCUAUCAGGAAGUAUCUCCAAGCGUUUUAAGUCAAGUGUCUUAGUGCCCUAGCGGUCAGUAUAUUGAUAGGAGUUCCACAGAGAUAUAUUGUAAGAGCUCUAUUAUUUACCAUUUAUAUAAAGAAUAAAUCUGUGGUUUAUAUUUUCACACUAUUUUAUAUGCCACUUGAGAGCUUUUUCUUUUAUCUGGACAUUGCAAAACUGUUGUCUUCUGCUCAUCAUUGCUACAGUAAUUGCAAUCUGUGGUCAUAGGACUUUCUAAUAUUAGCUGUGCUUCUUAUUGAAAUCUGUCUUUAAAAACACAAAAGAGGAUAAUAAAAGGGAAACAAUGCAUAUAAAUA